CGACUGCUGCUCUCGACGCCGGCCGGUCGGCGAUAGGCUCUGCGGCCCGUGGCGCACGUUGUGCCGGCUCACACCACCACCACCACCGGCGUCGUCGUCGUCGUCGUCACACGUGACGGGGACCUGUGUGUCACUUCUCGCGAACGAACGCGCGGGCGCGCGCGAGUGCGUGUGACUGGACGCGCGAUAGUUUGUCCAGCGGGUUAGCGGUCGCGGGCAAGUGCUUGUUGUGCGAGUGGGCGUGCCUGGAGUCGUCACAUACACUCACACCCUCGCUCGAGCCGCCGGCCGGGGCGCGCGGUCCCGCUGCUGCUGCUGCUGCUGCUGAGCAAGCCGUAUGAGGAUGUUGCUGCUGCUGGACCUGACGCAGUGAUCCCUGCUGGACCCCAAGAGCCCGCUCGCCGCCAUGCAGAUCUCCAGGUCUACGUUACUGCCGCUGCUGGCGAUGCUCGCGGCGGUGCACGUCCGCGCCAGGCACAGCGCGGCCGGCACGGGACUGAGAGGUGAGUG